rnacentral:rRNA from 1 species
UUAGUGGCGGACGGGUGAGUAACGCGUGAGCAACCUACCUUUCUGAUGGGGGAUAACGUCUGGAAACGGACGCUAAUACCGCAUAAACCGAUGUUAUCGCAUGGUGAUAUCGGCAAAGAGAUAUCGUCAGGAGAUGGGCUCGCGUCGGAUUAGAUAGUUGGCGGGGUAACGGCCCACCAAGUCAACGAUCCAUAGCCGGACUGAGAGGUCGGACGGCCACAUUGGAACUGAGAUACGGUCCAGACUCCUACGGGAGGCAGCAGUGGGGAAUAUUGGGCAAUGGGCGAAAGCCUGACCCAGCGACGCCGCGUGAAGGAAGAAGGUCUUCGGAUUGUAAACUUCAGUAGGCAGGGACGAAGAAAGUGACGGUACCUGCAGAGUAAGCCACGGCUAACUACGUGCCAGCAGCCGCGGUAAUACGUAGGGGGCGAGCGUUGUCCGGAAUUACUGGGCGUAAAGGGUGCGUAGGCGGCCUUAUAAGUCAUGUGUGAAAAACCCGGGCUCAACCCGGGUAUUGCAAGUGAAACUAUAGGGCUUGAGUGCAGGAGAGGGAAGUGGAAUUCCUAGUGUAGCGGUGAAAUGCGUAGAGAUUAGGAGGAACACCAGUGGCGAAGGCGGCUUCCUGGACUGCAACUGACGCUGAGGCACGAAAGCGUGGGGAGCAAACAGGAUUAGAUACCCUGGUAGUCCACGCCGUAAACGCUGAUACUAGGUGUAGGUACCGAUGAGGUAUCUGUGCCGUAGUUAACGCAAUAAGUAUCCCCGCCYUGGG